rnacentral:lncRNA from 1 species
CUAAUUUCCUAGGGUUUGCUUUGAAACACCUCUCAUUGGAAUGCCCUGGGAUUUUACAAAAGGUGCAAUGGUAUCGAUCCUUUUUCUAUGUAGAAACAUUCGUUUCCCUCCUUCUUUGAAAUUUAUUUUGGUGAAAAGUGUCAUAGAUUCAAAUGCAGACCCUUCAAUUGAUAUUUCUCUCCUCUUCUCUUCCUGUUGUAUGAUCGAAUAAAUCUCAUUUAGGUUUGGAAAAGGCUUAAUCAAUAGGAUUUGUGCUUUGAUUUCUUUAUACAAAUCAUUCAGUCCCAUUAGGAAUUUCAUCACCCAAUCUCUUUGUUGAUUUUGAACCACAACCUUCAAUCCACCGCAAUUACAAUCAGGAAUCGCCUCGUAAUUCAUGAGCUCAUCCAAUAGAGCCUUAAGCUUGGAAAAGUAAAUUUUCACAAGAUCUUGGUUUUGUAGCAACAUGGUUAUGGCUUGUUUAAUUUCAAAAAUUCUAGGUACUUUUUGCUGGGCAAAACCCUGCUCCAGCUUAAUCCGAAGCUGAUGGGUUGUCUCAGCGUAAGCAGUGCUAUACUUUGUAUCAAUGGCCAUGGCAUUUUGCAUCCAGGUAAUCACAAUAUCGUUGCAUUGUAACCAAUGUUCCAUGAGAGGGUCGUUGGGGUCUUCUGGUUCGCAUAUGCUCCCAUCGAUGAAACCUAAUUUGUUCUUAAUGCGUAAUACCCUCUUCAUAGAUCGAUACCAUGAGUAAUAGUUACUGACAUUCAGUGUAUAAGUAACAAGCAUGGCCCCAAUCCCAUUAGAGAUGGCAAUUUGGCUCGCCAGCUCGGGCCGCCCGUAG